rnacentral:rRNA from 1 species
UACGGAGGGUGCGAGCGUUGUCCGGAAUCACUGGGCGUAAAGGGCGCGUAGGCGGCGCGGAAAGUCAACGGUGAAAGCUUGGGGCUCAACCCCGAGUCGGCCGUCGAUACUUCCGUGCUCGAGCACUGUAGAGGCAGGUGGAAUUCCGGGUGUAGCGGUGGAAUGCGUAGAGAUCGGGAGGAACAUCUGUGGCGAAGGCGACUGCCUGGACCAGCACUGACACUGAGGCACGAAAGCGUGGGGAGCAAACAGG